AGUGAACGCUGGCGGUAGGCCUAACACAUGCAAGUCGAACGGCAGCACAGUAAGAGCUUGCUCUUACGGGUGGCGAGUGGCGGACGGGUGAGGAAUACAUCGGAAUCUACUUUUUCGUGGGGGAUAACGUAGGGAAACUUACGCUAAUACCGCAGACGACCUACGGGUGAAAGCAGGGGAUCUUCGGACCUUGCGCGAAUGAAUGAGCCGAUGUCGGAUUAGCUAGUUGGCGGGGUAAAGGCCCACCAAGGCGACGAUCCGUAGCUGGUCUGAGAGGAUGGUCAGCCACACUGGAACUGAGACACGCUCCAGACUCCUACGGGAGGCAGCAGUGGGGAAUGUUGGACAGUGGGCGCGAGCCUGGUCCAGCCAUACCACGUGGGUGAAGAAGACCUUCGGGUUGUAAAGCCCUUUUGUUGGGAAAGAAAAGCAGCAGGUUAAUACCCCGCUGUUCUGACGGUACCCAAAGAAUAAGCACCGGCUAACUUCGUG
rnacentral:rRNA from 1 species